rnacentral:rRNA from 1 species
GGGGUCCUACGGGACGCAGCAGUGGGGGAUAUUGCACAAUGGGGGGAACCCCGAUGCAGCGACGCCGCGUGGGUGAAGGAGCGUUUCGGCGCGUAAAGCCCUAUCGGCAGGGAAGAAGAUGACGGUACCUGACCAAGAAGCCCCGGCUAACUACGUGCCAGCAGCCGCGGUAAUACGUAGGGGGCAAGCGUUAUCCGGAUUUACUGGGUGUAAAGGGGGCGCAGACGGCAAUGCAAGCCAGGAGAGAAAGCCCGGGGCCCAACCCCGGGACGGCUCUUGGAACUGCAUG